AAAUAGUUUUCUUGGGACCAGCUAAGAAAACAAAACGCAAUGAAUAAAAAAACUUAAAAGAUAAAAUAAGCCUAAAAACAGCUAAAAUAAAGAAACCAGUAAAAAGGUAAACGUAAAACUAAAGAAUAAUUAUAUAAAAUUCAUACAAAAAUAGGGGGCUUUUAAGAACAACGCUAACACUUAAAUAAAAAUGAGUAGCAUAACUAAGAAUAAAUAGUAAAACAUACAAAAAAAGAAAAGAUUAAUAAGGGAACUCGGCAAAAAACAGAGCAAAGACUGUUUAACAAAAACAUAGCUUCUAGCAACAAUUAGAAGUACCAUCCUGCCCGGUGAAAGUAAUUUUAAACGGCCACAAUCGUGCUAAGGUAGCGUAAUCAGUUGUCCUUUUAUUGAGGACUAGUAUGAAAGGAAAAACGAGGCUCAACUGUCCCUAUUAAUGAAACAAAAAUUAAUCAUCAGGUGAAAAAGCCUGAAUAUAAUUAAAGGACGAGAAGACCCUAUAGAGUUUAAAUAUAAUAUAUUAUUUGUGAAACACAACCACACAGAUAAUAUAAAUAUUUUAAUUGGGGCAACACAGGAGCAAAAAAAUCUCCUAACAACAGACAUUUAAAAUAUUAAAAACNNNNNUCCUCGAAGAGAAAAAGAAAANNNACCUUAGGGNNNNNAGCGUAAUUUU
rnacentral:rRNA from 1 species